CUCUUGUUUUGAAUUGAUAUAAGAGAGUGGGUUUCUUUACAUUUGGGCCACUUCUGCUUCUCUUCGUUCUUACGUAGCCUCGCAGCUACCAUCUUAAGACCACUCCUCACGUAGCUCACCACAGCUGUGACAAACUCCAAUGGAGAGCACGGAGAACAACCGCCAUUUACGUAGUAAACAAACAAGUACGAGUCAUAAUGUUGGCCAUUGAUUAGGUAAAAACCUUGCAACCUUCGUAUACACUUGAAUGCCAUUUUUUUGUAUAAAUGAAUGGCAGGAUUGUUGUAAGAAAUCACAUGCAAGUAAACAGCACGGCAUGUUGGAAUACUUAAAGAAUAUUUGAUAACCUCACGAAUAAGAGCAGUUGCUAUCCCAAGAUUUCUGUAAGCUUCUACCACUCCAAGAGUCAGAAUGUAGACUAGUGUUUGAUCUGGUUUUGAGGGGUCAUAUCUGAGUAAAUCCCCUAUCUCACUUUCUUUUGCCAGCACAAUUCUUGCAGUAACAAAUCCAAUAAGCUCAUCACUCUGACCAUUAGGUCGACCACGAUCAACAGCUGCCCAAGACACAAUGUCACGUGCAUUGACAACAUUUUGGAAAAACUCCGACUCAUACCUGAUAGGAAAUACAUCUGCAUGGAGUCGCUCUAAAAUCUCCAAGUCAGAUGGCCGUAUAGGCCUGUAGCAUAUAGUUGGGCGGUGGGAGCUCUUAGGGUUUACCAUUUAUGGUUUUGCUGUUAAUCCCCGGCAAAGAUAUGGUAAAUUUGGAAAGUUUGUUCAUGAACUUCUUCCAUUUAUGGCACACAAAUCGCCAUCUCCAUGUAGCAGUUGCUCAUACAGUGGUUUUGGAUGGCAAGAAUCCAGAGAGAGAGAGUGUGCAGAAAUAUGAGGGAAAGGAUAUUAAUAUGUGGGAAUUGUUGGUGGGAUUUCUUUUGCCUUUUCUUUUGCGGAUGAAAAUCGAGUUAAAUUGAAAAGAAUUAAUGCUUUGCUUUGGUUUCCUGGAAAAAAAAUGACUUACAAUCUUGUUUGAGACAAGGCUCGAUCUUUUUGUAAAGCUUUCCUUGUUUACAAAAAUAUAAAUUGCUGGGUAGACUUGACUUUGGGUGGAUUUUGUAG
rnacentral:misc_RNA from 1 species